GAGAAGGAAGAAGAGGAGGAGGAGGUGAAGGAGGAAGAGGCUAACCCUAACACUAAAGCUAAAUCGAAACAUAAAGGUUCUUUAGGAUGUGGAGUUUGAGACCGAAGGAACCACAACGAAAUUACAGUACUGUCAAGAAAAUAUAAUUUAUGAGAAUAAUUAAACUCCUUAUCAGCGCCUAGGAAGAAAAAAAUUCUUAUGACUAAGCAAGAAAUAUCUAGAAGAA